rnacentral:rRNA from 1 species
CGGGUGCGUAACGCGUAUACAAUCUACCUUUUACAGGGGGAUAGCCCAGAGAAAUUUGGAUUAAUACCCCAUGGCAUAUGUUUGUGGCAUCACAUACAUAUUAAAGAUUCAUCGGUAAGAGAUGAGUAUGCGUUCUAUUAGCUAGUAGGUGCGGUAACGGCGCACCUAGGCUACGAUAGAUAGGGGCCCUGAGAGGGGGAUCCCCCACACUGGUACUGAGACACGGACCAG